rnacentral:rRNA from 1 species
UACGUAGGGGGCAAGCGUUGUCCGGAAUCAUUGGGCGUAAAGCGCGUGUAGGCGGUUCGGUAAGUCUGCUGUGAAAGUCCAGGGCUCAACCCUGGGAUGCCGGUGGAUACUGUCGGACUAGAGUACGGAAGAGGCGAGUGGAAUUCCCGGUGUAGCGGUGAAAUGCGCAGAUAUCGGGAGGAACACCAAUUGCGAAGGCAGCUCGCUGGGACGUUACUGACGCUGAGGCACGAAGGCCAGGGGAGCAAACGGG